GUUUUGGAGGUACAAGGUAAGGAACACUAGUAGAAAAACAUAAAUGUGUACCGAAGAAUGAGCACCGAUUCUUGGAAACCAGUGGCCCAAAAUACAUAAAGCACCGGUUAACCGAUGCCCCUUGAUUUUUUUUCUUUUUCUACAAUUCAAAUACAAGAGCAUCGAUUAACCGGUGCCCCUUUAUUUUUAUACAUUUCUAAAACACGCAUUAUUUCCCAAUUUAAUAACCACGCACUCACUCAGUCAUUCUCCUUUCUCUCUCCUCUCGUUCCCCCUUUCUCUCUUCUAUCACUUCACCGCCACUCCUUAGCUUCCCCACCACCACUCCUUAGCUUCCACCACCACCCCUUUCAUCGCCAGCCCACUUUAUCUCUCCAUUUCUUCUCUCUGUCAACUCUCGUUCUCCUUCUUCGAAAAUCAGCGUCAAUUCGAACCAAAUACAACCAUCGUCGUCGCCGCCGCCUAUUUCUUAAAUCAACAAUAAUGGAGGUUAGGGUUUGUAGGUGCGUUUUUCGCAUCAAUUGGAUGUUCGUGCUUCUUUAACAACAACAAAUACAAAUAAAUUUCGAAUAAAAAUUCAGAUAUUUGAGUUGAGUUUGGGAUGUCCAUGGAGCUAAUUUUGUCAAAGUUGACCAGGAUACUCUUCGAUCUCAUCCUUGUAUCCCUUUUUUUCUAUUUACUCUUGAUUUAAUUGUUUAAUUUCUGGAUUUGCUGUUUUUUUCCAUUGUUUAUUGAUUGGAUAAAAUAGGUGUUUUUUUGGAGGGUUUUAACUUAAAUUUUAAUUUGCUUAGGGUUGAUGUUAUGUAAGACUUGAAAGUGUUGUGUUGUGGAAAAUUUCUGAUUUGGAUAUUGAAAUUUGACUGUGGUGGAUAUUGGAUUAUGAGCCAGCAAUUUCAAUCUUGUGAUUUGCGUGAUUCUCGUAUUCAACCUGAUCGUCAUUGGUUUGGUACGUUUUUUCUUACGAAAUUGCUGUUAUUUUUUAUGCAAAUUUGAUAUAAUUUCAAUAAUUAUUGAAGGGAAAUUCUCAAUGGUAACCCCCUUUUUUUGGAUUAUACUAAAUGACCUUAGUUAACAAUUUCAUCCCACUCAUAACCUUAUUUCCUUAAAUAUUAACUAUGGUUAUAUUUAUAUUUUUUUAAAAAAAGAAAAUUAAAAAGUUAAUCCCAACCCCUAAUCCCCAUUGAUUCCAGCCAACCUCUCCUCCUUCUCCUCAUUUUCCACCGUUCCGGCCGGCCCACUCCCCAACCACCUCUUUGCCGCCCUCCCCCCAACCACCUCCUUGUCGCCCUCCCCCCAAACACCUCCUUGCUGCCCACAGCCGCCCUUGGUCGUCGAAUUGCAGCAGAUCGAAUCGGAGCUCGUGGCUAGGGAGAGCGACAAAGGCCGAAAUCGUGACGAAGAUGGGGUUUUCGAGGGUGGUGAGAUGAUUUUAUGGGCUGGAAAAGGGACAAGGGAAGAGGAGAGGGCCGAAAACUUGGCGGGGGAAGGAGGUCAGGAUCGGGACGGGGAAAGGUUCGAAGGUGUUUGGUGGUUCAAGGGGAGGGAUACGGCGGUCGGCACGUUCAAGGGGAGGGGUACGACGGUCGGAACCUGGGGUUUUUGAGGGUGAUGUUGCCUAGUUUGGUGAGGGAGGCGGUUUGGUGCUUCAUAGGAGGGGGUUCAGGCGAGCCGUCGGCGCUGCUGGGGAUCCUGGUGACCGGAGGCACGGGGCAGGGGUGUCAGGGGCGGCGGGGAAGGUUUAGGCUGGUGGUGGUUUAAAUAAUUAUUUAUUUUAUUUAUUUUUUUCUUUAAAAAAUAAUUUAACUUUUUUUGAAAUUGAUUUUAUUUUAUUUUUUUAAAAUAAUUUAACCUUAGUUAACCAUAGUUAGUUUUUUUUUUAAAUAAAUAACACUCAUUAAUGUCAUAUGUGAGAUAAAUUUCUUAAUUAGGGUCAUCUUGUAUAAUCCAAAAAAAGGGGGGGUUACCGUUGGUGCGUAGCAAAAGUUGGGGGUUACCGUUGAGAAUUUCCCAUUAUUGAAUUAUUAAGUUUUGGGAUUUGGAAGAAUUGAACCGAAGUAUUUGAUUGAACGUGAAAUUUGUCAAAUUGCAUAGAUGAUGAUUGAAUUGAUUGAUAUAGUAGUUUUGGGGUUUAAAAUCAGAUUACGCAACUCAGUAUAAUUACGAUUGAUCUAGGGUUUUGUUAAUUUGUUUCAAUAAUUGCGAUUGAUCUAGGAUUUUGUUAAUUUGAGCUUUUGGAAUUGUGAAUAUACGGAAUAUUUGAAUUAUGGGUACACGGAGUAUUUGACUUGUGAGUAUACAGAGUAUUUGAUACUUGAAUCUUGAAUUUCAGUAGUUUGAUUGUGGAUGUAUUGUGAAUAUUGUUUUGGUUGUCAUUUAAUUUGAUUUUUUAGGUAUAUAUUUUUUCAGGUAUAUUUUGAUUGAUUUCUUGAUUGUGGUAUGGGUAUAUUUUAAUCAGUUUUGGGUUUCUUUUGAUUAAAUAUGCAAAUUGAAUCUCAUUUGGUAGUGGAUAAUGGUGGAUUAUUUCAUUAUAUUUUGUUUCUAGUUUGUCUUCUUAUAUUGCCUUAUCGUACCAUAAUUGUUAAGUUUCUUGACAAGUAUAGCUCAGGAAUUAAAAUUGGGUUUUGGAUUGAUUUUCUGAGUUGUGUUUUUGCGUUUAUCGAAUGACUUGAAGCUUGAACCUGUUGCCCUGCUUCCCUGCAGUGCACCCCUGCUGCUGCUACUUUUUCUCUGCUGUAGCUGCUGCUUUUUCUCUACCGAGAUUGGGGACAGGUGUGGCUUUAAGCCUAUGUUUGUAUAUUAAUUUAUACUUGUUGCCUGCAACUAUGGCUUUAAUGUCUUCUGGAAAUGAUGACUUUGUUUGGGAGUAUUCUUGAUGAAGCCAUUGACAAGAUUGGGCUGAUGGUGUUAUCUCUAUUGAGUCGUUCUCAACCUCUGAAACUUACAUAAUUGUUGAAAAGGGAAUGAAGGUCUGCUUCUGUAUUUUACUGCCAUAAAUAAAAAAUGUUUUGUGCACCCUAGUUUCAUUAGAGGAGUGAUAAACUGAUAGCUGGCUGUUUGUACUCUGUAUCUCUCUCUCUCUCUCUCUCUCUCUCUCUCUCUCUCUCUCUCUCUCUCUCUCUCUCUCUCUCUCUCUCUCUCUCUCUCUCUCGUUUUGAAGGAUAUAGUUGCAUACAUUGAGUCAUCCUUGAACCUGGUUUGAUGGGAAAUCAACCAAAUAAUUAUUUCUUUUGAGCUUAUAAUAUGGAUCAAGUACAAAUUUAAUUGUUUUCUGGUUCAUUAGAAUGCAACCUUUAUCAUGUACUUGAUCCUUUGCUUUUUUUUUUUUUUUCUUUGGUUAUGAAAUUAUAUGAACUUAUUAGAGUAUGUUUUUAUUCUUAGGGAACUGUGUAGUAACAAUAUCAAGGGGCCAAUACCUAGUGAGCUGGGCAAUCUGACAAAUUUGGUCAGUUUGGAUCUCUAUUUGAAUAGUUUCAGCAGUCCAAUUCCGCCAUUGCGGAGUCUUUGGGCAGGCUAUCGAAGUUGUGCUUUCUGUAUGCAUACUAAUCCCUUGCCUGACUAAUUUAUCUAAGGACUAUACCUUAUUUACCUUUAACAUUUGCAUUGAAAUGUAUGUGUGUUGAAUGUAUGCAUGGCCUUAUGUGGUCCUAUGCUAUCUUUCUGGCUUUCUGCUAGUUGUUAAUGCGAAAAUGCAAGUUGAUAUGGCUUUCACGACUGCUCUUGAAUAAUUUAUUAUCCCUAGCUAUGGAAUAUUGACUGAGUGUAGAAAAGGGGGUUCUCUUAAUGCUUGCCAAUGACUUAUUAAUAUGUUUUGAGUCUGUGUAUUGAGAGGGUAUUUUGCUGUUUGUUUGUGUUGUUGUUUUAGACUCUAUAGAAUGUUUUCAUCUGCGAUUUUUAGUUGAUAAUUGUUUUUAUUUUGUGAUUUGGGUUUACUCUUUUGAUUUGGGUUUGUGUUAUUUUUGUUGUUGAUUUAUUUAUUGUUAUGAAAAGAUUGGUUAGUAUUGUGGGAUUUUUUUGUAAAAUUUGACAGGUUACAUAUGGAUCUGUAAUCAAAUUAGUGCAUGAAAUAACAAAAUUCAGGCUGCAUUCAGGUUGCUCUAUGUCCUAAUAUGGACGAUUCAUUCUCUUUAGUGCUGCUGCUGUUCUGCUACUGGGCUGCUGCUAUAUAUUUUUUUUUCCUUUUCUUUUCAAGUGUAAAAUUACAGGUUAUUAAGGAAAAUUAUCAGUUUCAAGUAUAUUAUGUAUAUCUAUAACAGUCUGGUGAUAAAUUCACAUGAAAAAAAAAAAUUAUUUUUUUGGGCAUUUUUUGCACCGUUAACCAGUGCCAAAAGUAAUGAAUUAUAUUUUUUGUAAAAGUGGGUACCUAUUAUUAGCACCGGUUAACCGGUGCCAAUAACAAGUAUUCCCCCGGUUCAAAACCGGUGCGAAUGGGGGGUUUUGAACCGGUGCGCAUUUGUAUUUUUCUACUAGUGGAGCAAUUGGUAUAAACAUGGGUUUGGGAGCAAUUGGUCUGAAUUUGUAGGGGCUGAACCACUAAGGGGUGAAGCUGACUUAGGGGUUGUCGGGGAGUAAGAUGAAGCAACCAUGUGACCCUGACCCCCCUGCAUACAAGGGUACAAUGUCCUGUAUUGAUGAUAUUCAUAAGGGAUCAUGGCUGGCCGAUAAACGGAAUGUACAUCGCUCGCAGACAACUUGGCAGGUGGAGUCUCCUGAAACACUAGUGAAAUACCCUAUUGAUCCAUCACUGUCCACCAUUUGGAUUCCUCCGAUAAAAUAAGGGCUGUAAGGGAAGACAAAUCCCUGAGGUGGAGGCACCUGCAACACAACCAGUUAAGAAACAAAACAACAAACAAGGGGAAGUUAGAACAUUAUGCAGGUUGCACUUUUCCAUGUAAACAAAGAAAAAAUACAAGAGAGUAAACCUAAGAAUUUGAAGUUGUAAGAAAUUGUGCAGGUUGCACUUUUGAGGUUUUCUUUGGUGCUUUGCGGU